UACGGAGGGUGCAAACGUUGCUCGGAAUCAUUGGGCGUAAAGCGCGCGUAGGCGGCUUUGUAAGUUAGAGGUGAAAGCCCAGGGCUUAACCCUGGAAUUGCCUUUAAGACUGCAUCGCUAGAAUCGUGGAGAGGUGAGUGGAAUUCCGAGUGUAGAGGUGAAAUUCGUAGAUAUUCGGAAGAACACCAGUGGCGAAGGCGACUCACUGGACACGUAUUGACGCUGAGGUGCGAAAGCGUGGGGAGCAAACAGG
rnacentral:rRNA from 1 species